rnacentral:rRNA from 1 species
AACGAACGCUGGCGGCAGGCUUAACACAUGCAAGUCGAACGCACCUUCGGGUGAGUGGCAGACGGGUGAGUAACGCGUGGGAACCUUCCCUGUGGUACGGAAUAGCUCCGGGAAACUGGAAUUAAUACCGUAUACGCCCUUUUGGGGAAAGAUUUAUCGCCAUAGGAUGGGCCCGCGUCGGAUUAGCUUGUUGGUAGGGUAAUGGCCUACCAAGGCAACGAUCCGUAGCUGGUCUUAGAGGAUGAUCAGCCACACUGGGACUGAGACACGGCCCAGACUCCUACGGGAGGCAGCAGUGGGGAAUAUUGGACAAUGGGCGAAAGCCUGAUCCAGCCAUGCCGCGUGAGUGACGAAGGCCUUAGGGUUGUAAAACUCUUUUGGCGGGGACGAUAAUGACGGUACCCGCAGAAUAAGCCCCGGCUAACUUCGUG